GGGGAUGUAGCUCAGUGGUAGAGCACGUGCUUAGCAUGCACUGGGUCCUCGGUUCAUUCCCCAGCACCUCA
rnacentral:tRNA from 1 species